ACCUGGUUGGCUCAGUUGGCAGAGUAUGAGACUCUUAAUCUCGGGAUUGUGUGUUCAAGCCCCAUGUUGGGUG
rnacentral:tRNA from 1 species